UACGAGUGUGUGUGUGUCUGUGUGUGUAAAUGUAAAUGCGGUGGCUCAUACGAGUGUGUGUGUGUGUGUGUGUGUCUGUGUGUGUAAAUGUAAAUGCGUUGAAGUGUAAAUGCGUUGUAAAUGUGGCCAUCAGCACACGAUAGCAUCAGUGCUACCACACAUCACACGAUAGCGUCAGCGCUACCACACAUCACACGAUAGCAUCAGUGCUACCACACAUCACACAUCACACGAUAGCAUCAGUGCUACCACACAUCACACGAUAGCGUUAGCACACGAUAGCAUCAGUGCUACCACACAUCACACGAUAGCAUCAGUGCUACCACACAUCACACAUCACACGAUAGCGUCAGCGCUACCACACAUCACACGAUAGCAUCAGUGCUACCACACAUCACACGAUAGCGUCAGCGCUACCACACAUCACACGAUAGCGUCAGUGCUACCACACAUCACACGAUAGCAUCAGUGCUACCACACAUCACACGAUAGCGUCAGCGCUACCACACAUCACACGAUAGCGUCAGCGCUACCACACAUCACACGAUAGCAUCAGUGCUACCACACAUCACACGAUAGCAUCAGCGCUACCACACAUCACACGAUAGCGUCAGCGCUACCACACAUCACACGAUAGCAUCAGUGCUAUCACACAUCACACGAUAGCGUCAGUGCUACCACACAUCACACGAUAGCAUCAGCGCUACCACACAUCACACGAUAGCAUCAGUGCUACCACACAUCACACGAUAGCAUCAGUGCUACCACACAUCACACGAUAGCAUCAGCGCUACCACACAUCACACGAUAGCGUUAGCACACGAUAGCAUCAGUGCUACCACACAUCACACGAUAGCAUCAGUGCUAUCACACAUCACACGAUAGCGUCAGUGCUACCACACAUCACACGAUAGCAUCAGCGCUACCACACAUCACACGAUAGCAUCAGCGCUACCACACAUCACACGAUAGCAUCAGCGCUACCAUGAAUCACACGAUAGCAUCAGCGCUACCACACAUCACACGAUAGCAUCAGUGCUAUCACACAUCACACGAUAGCGUUAGCAUCAGUGCUACCACACAUCACACGAUAGCAUCAGCGCUACCACACAUCACACGAUAGCAUCAGCGCUACCACACAUCACACGAUAGCAUCAGCGCUAAUCACACGAUAGCAUCAGCGCUACCACACAUCACACGAUAGCAUCAGCGCUACCACACAUCACACGAUAGCAUCAGUGCUAAUCACACGAUAGCAUCAGUGCUAAUCACACGAUAGCAUCAGUGCUAAUCACACAUCACACGAUAGCAUCAGCGCUAAUCACACAUCACACGAUAGCAUCAGCGCUACCACACAUCACACAUCACACAAUAGCAUCAGCAUCAGCGCUACCACACAUCACACGAUAGCAUCAGCACUAAUCACACAUCACACAUCACACGAUAGCAUCAGUGCUACCACACAUCACACGAUAGCAUCAGCGCUACCACACAUCACACGAUAGCAUCAGCGCUACCACACAUCACACGAUAGCAUCAGCGCUAAUCACACGAUAGCAUCAGCGCUACCACACAUCACACGAUAGCAUCAGUGCUCAUCACACAUCACACGAUAGCGUUAGCACAUGAUAGCGUAAGCUAAUCCAUGACAGACUUGCUUGUUGCUCUGCUCAUUGCCCACCAAUGAACUUAGGGCCCAACAUGCGGUGGUAUGUGAGACUAAAAGCAUUUGGUGUAUAAGAUUUUACAUGCAGAGGUAUGUAUGCGUGUAAAUGCAUUGGUGUAUAAGAUUUUAAAUGCAGAGGUAUGUAUGCGUGUCAAUGCAUUGGUGUAUAAGAUUUUACAUGCAGAGGUAUGUAUGCGUGUAAAUGCAUUGGUGUAUAAGAUUUGACAUGCAGAGGUAUGUAUGCGUGUUAAUGCAUUGGUGCAUAAGAUUUUAAAUGCAGAGUUUGUAUGCGUGUCAAUUUAGUGGUAUAUAAAAGUGUAAGAUAAGAGUGUGUGUGUGUGUGUGUGUGUGUGUGUGUGUGUGUGUGUGUAUAAGAACAGUAAUAUGAUGCAGUGUGUGUGUGUGUGUAUAAGAACAGUAAUAUGAUGCAGUGUGUGUGUGUGUGUGUGUGUAUAAGAACAGUAAUAUGAUGCAGUGUGUAUAAGAACAGUGAUAUGAUGCAGUGUGUGUGUAUGUGUGUGUAUGCAUGCUAUUGUGCUCAUGGUAUUAA
ensembl:lncRNA